rnacentral:lncRNA from 1 species
UGUUGCGCAACAUACACCUUUACAAAUUAACAUGUGCACGGUGAUGACACAUAAACAAACACUAACGCAUGGUGACACACACACACACACACACGCCAUAAACAACACCCCCUUAACAGAUCUGAGUAACACAACAUUUAAGCGGUCUCUCCUUUUUUCUUAUCUUCGGCUUCCUUUUUGCCCCAUGGUGAAACAUUUCUUGGCAUGCAUGAUCUCAUUUAACUUUGAUUUCCUUUCUCUCCAGGACCGCAUUCUAGAUGUUUCCAAUUUCCAGGCCAUUCCCCAAUUUUCGACUCUGAUGAGAGACAACACAUGCAGGGAUGGCUGUUUCGGUAAAGUAAGGCGUGGGUCUUGUGGCCCCUGUUCUAGAAUGUCAGAGAUGUCACUAAGAGGAGACGAAUUCCAGAGGGAUUGUGAAUGGGACGAUUGAAGACCUGCUUUGAUUGACAGGUCUUCCUCUCUCUCUCUGCCCUCGGGCUGAUUGACAAUGCGGUUCAUCUCACAUUUUGUGACCGAACUAAUCCAGUAAAUUCCUACCAGACGGUUCAACAUCUCAGAGGAGGCAGUUCUUUUCCAGGUGGAGUUUUGGGGGCUCCCAAAAUAAAUAUGUUUUUUUUUUCCA